CGUGUAGGCGGCUUGGCAAGUCGGUUGUGAAAGCCCGGGGCCCAACCCCGGAAUUGCAGCCGAAACUGCCUCGCUAGAGUCCCGGAGAGGAAGGCAGAAUUCCCGGUGUAGGGGUGAAAUCCGUAGAUAUCGGGAGGAAUACCAGUGGCGAAGGCGGCCUUCUGGACGGUGACUGACGCUGAGACGCGAAAGCGUGGGGAGCAAACAGGAUUAGAUACCCUGGUAGUC
rnacentral:rRNA from 1 species